AUUGAACGCUGGCGGCAGGCCUAACACAUGCAAGUCGAGCGAGUGGCGGACGGGUGAGUAAUGUCUGGGAAACUGCCUGAUGGAGGGGGCUAACUACUGGAAACGGUAGCUAAUACCGCAUACCAUCAGAUGUGCCCAGAUGGGAUUAGCUAGUAGGUGUGGUAAAGGCUAACCUAGGCGACGAUCCCUAGCUGGUCUGAGAGGAUGACCAGCCACACUGGAACGGAGACACGGUCCAGACUCCUACGGGAGGCAGCAGUGGGGAAUAUUGCACAAUGGGCGCAAGCCUGAUGCAGCCAUGCCGCGUGUAUGAAGAAGGCCUUCGGGUUGUAAAGCACUUUCAGCGGGGAGGCGUUACCCGCAGAAGAAGCACCGGCUAACUCCGUGCCAGCAGCCGCGGUAAUUC
rnacentral:rRNA from 1 species